CGGGACGGGUGAGUAACGCGUGGGUAACCUGCCUUGUACUGGGGGACAACAGUUGGAAACGACUGCUAAUACCGCAUAAGCGCACAGCUUCGCAUGAAGCAGUGUGAAAAACUCCGGUGGUAUGAGAUGGACCCGCGUCUGAUUAGCUGGUUGGUGAGGUAACGGCCCACCAAGGCGACGAUCAGUAGCCGGCCUGAGAGGGUGACCGGCCACAUUGGGACUGAGACACGGCCCAA
rnacentral:rRNA from 1 species